UGCUUAAAGUUGUGAAAAACAGGAUGUUGAACAGGGAUGUGCUUACCGCAAAAAUGCUGAAGUAUUGCAAAGUAUGCAAAACUUGUUAUCCAAUCAGAAUGUAUGUUAUGCUUGUGUUUGUCGCGUGAACAGUAGUGAUAAGCCAAUGAGCUUGCUUGACAAGGCGUGUGAUUGCAUGUACGGAACAUUAGGACAUUAUAAAAAGAGAACAUAUCACGGAAUAAACCGAAGCUGAUUUACUCAUCAUAUUGAUGUGUCUUGCUUCCCCGUCUUCGGCCGCGGCAGACAAUAAAGAAAUAAUAUCCAAAUCCAGAAGGAGGAAGUUCAACAGGAGAAUAAGAUCUAGAAAGGUGUAGAUCUUAAGGAGCCCAAUUUUCUUUCAUCUCAAAAGGAGCUAAAGCUGCUAAGGAGAUUUCAACAAAGGUACAGAACUGGACCUUAAAGGUAAAAAGAAAGAACUAGCAGACAAUGAUGAAGAAGAAGAUACUAAUAGUCCAAGUGUGUAAGAAGCAUCAAGUGUUCAGUGACCUCACCAGCAGAUCCCAUCAACCUCUAAGUGUGGGCCCUUCUUAGGACCCAACACUCUCUCCGUGUUUAUUCUCACCAGGACAGAAGGUACGAGAUGUAUGAUAGCAGCAUGUGGAGCCAGGAAGAGCCUUUCAGUACAGCUGCAAACUGCAAGUACAGGAGGGUGUGGGGAGAACAGCUGGAAGCUCAAGAAGAAACAGGGAUGUCAUGAAUCACACUUCCUUCCUAGGCUGCUCCUGGAGCAGCAGGGCUCUUUAUUAUGAGUUUAGAGCAAGAUCCUACUCACCGACUGCUCUUUUUCUAAUACAAUAUCUCACAGUCUCAAGAACUCUCUGUGGGAAAACAGCCAAAUCUGAAGGAAGAGAAUAUGAAGGCGGCAUGAGAAUUACCUUCAAGUAUGCAAAGAAGGGAGCAGUCUCCACAGAAGUGGAGUCUAGGAGAGAAAAAAAAAAGAAAAAAGAAAAAGACUAAUCUUCAGCAAAGACAACUUCCAUUAGAUACUCAGCAGAACUUUAUAACGGUGAGGACAGUGAAUCUCAGCGAUGGGUUACUUGAAAAGGGCUAUAUUUUGGCAAGCUCUAAGAGCCAUUUAGACAAGCAUCUAACAGCAAUGACAUGAGUAGAGCUUAUGCAGCUUUGGCACAAGAAGAUGGACUAUGUGAGCCUUCUGGAUUCUUUCCAGCUCUACUAGACUGUGUACAAAACAAUAGUCACAGCUAAUCUGCAUUUGCAGGUUUGUUUCUGCCAAAAAUAAAGGCUAGAAUAAGGUGAAUAUGAAACUGUGGCUCUUAAUUUAUCUACCUACACGAUUCCUACUGGUGGGGUUUCUCUACAUGUCAAGCAGAGAGAACCUUUAUUUGCAUUGUCUCAUCCAGGUCACAUAGAGGAAAAAUAUUAGAAUUCAAUUUCUCUGCAUUGCAGGAUCAAGAGCUGAGUCAAUCCUGCUGGGAUUCAACCCACGUUCCAGGGAGCCUAAGUAUUUCAUAUUUGAUGUUUAAAACUCUAACCAAAUAAAAUUUGUACUGGGAGAUGUA